AUAGAAUACGAUAACACAACCGCUAACUAUUACCAUUCCCAAUAAUUUCCAUCUUCUAAUUUACAUACACCUCAUAAAGACAUAAUGUACAUAGUUCUGCGCUAAAACAGCGAUCGAAUUCGACACCCUUCCAGCCUUACCGCUAUUACCAUUGCCGGGUUAGGCGUAAAUAACGUAUUGUCUGCCUUUCGUUUCCUAUUUACCGACUGCUUGAUUAGAAUACCAUCUCAAUAGUCAUCCGCCGUACGCCUGCAUCUUGUUUGACCUCUUGAACACACACACAUAAGAGCUCCUGGUAACACGUAUCAAUAAGCACUUCUCUAUCAAUGCGCAAGCACCAUUCCCGAGAUACACGGUCACCUUUAUGUCGGCAAACGCUCUACAGCCGUAACAACAUCAUUAAAUCCUGUUACGGGCUUUACAUCCUCCCCCGUCUGAGAAACGUCGAAUGUGAAGGUGGAUUUGUUUUCUAGUUUCAAACCGUUCUCACGCCACAUGUGUACCGGAUUAACACAGACAAACAAAUCUUUGAGCUGAGCUGCUGCCUCACAAACAAGAUAGUGCGGAAAGAUGAGGUCGGUUGUCUGAGCUGCGCUCGUCAACAUAGUGUCCUCGAUUUGUGGUCUGGAAACCCCGGGUCGGAGUACGCAAGAUUAUUUCACCCAACGCAGAACAUGAUUUACCGAUCGGAAGCAAUGGAGACGCCUAGUAACCAACAGAAACUUUGGCUCGAUUGAUUCAAAAUGCAGCAUUUUCCGUUAUUUUCGUUAGGUGUUUUGUCAAUCUUAAAUUAUUUCUUCUCCUACUUAUUCAGCAAUUCCAUGUAUCCCGAAUAGUCAGUAGUCCGGGGGACGGUCUAUUCUACGCUUGAACCCAUGACGGCCAUAUUAUUGAGUCGUUCGACUGUACCAUGGGACCGCCCCCGUGGUCAUAUUAAAUAAAAAAACUAUGGCAGUUAUAUUACAUUGUGUUUACAAACAGUUAUAAGAACAUUAACAUUAGUUCCAAAAAAUAGAUCCCCAAGCUCUGCUCCAUGUAAAUGCCCUUUUAAUUCAAUUGCAUACCUUUGUAGCUAAUUAGAGCACCAACUUGAUCAACAGCAUAAUGAAUUAAAAAAAACAAAAAAUGGCGACAUGAGAGAGCUAUAGGCAGGUACUAACUAAUCAAAUAGCCAGAGCCCGCAUAAACAUCACACAAAAUGAAAGAUAUAAAAAUCUCAUACAACAUUAUCAUUCCUGCAUCGUUCGAACCCACAAGGGACGAUGACAAACUUCGACCAGGUUGGCAAGAAGAACACACCCGAGAAUAAAGCCUUAUAAUAGCUAUUGAAUGUCAAAGUUUUGGGUUGAGAUAAUUCAUCUCACGAUCGGGGCGGCACGUUCCACUAGACGCCAUCAUGGCUGCUCUCAGUAUCACGAGGUGAACAAAUGUCGUCAAACAAGGUUCAGUUAGGAAACCAACAACUCUCUUUUUGAGCUUGCACCUUGGACGAUUUUUGCUUUCCCGUAUUGUUAUACAAUACUAGUACAUAACAUUUUCGGUAUAAGGGUUUUUUCCUCUUCUCGUUACUAUGAUUCAUAUUACCGUGACCCUAGGGCAGCCUCUUUUUGAGAGCGGCGCACAUGCGGCGCACUAUUAUAUACAUUUACAUCAGCCAAAGCUUACAAACACUAGCUGCAAUCAUGAGACCAAAUGUGACACUCAGGCACUUCGUAGUGUGCAAGCUGCAGGCACUAGUAAAUAAUACACAUGCCAAAUGAUUAGAUUCCUCGCCAAGAUCCAGUCUCGGUCAGUCAUGUUUAAAUUACGCCGUAAAACGAAGCUUUACUAUUCAAAGCAAAAUCAUUAGUAAUGUAAUAUGAUUUAUUGGUUUUCACUCGAACGAAAAAUAAAUCACUUGAUUGAGUCAAUGAGAGCAUUCUUUUCAUUGCUGUAAUGAUAAUAAUAAUAAUAUUAAUAAGCAGCCUUUUUGCAACAUCAAGUGCGUGUAGAAAAUAUACUAACAUGCUCAGUCAUUGGUACACCGCAUGGCAUGAGGCGUAGAAAUGUUACUAUACCCUUUUGCUCCGGAACUGAACUUCGGUCGCUCGAUCAACAAACCAAUAGAUCGUGCGAUAACAUCCACCCACAAGCAAGUGAUCGCCAAUCUGUUUGUUUGUUUGUUUAUUUGUAUGUUCUUGCACUUUCAUUGCAUUUUUCCAGUGCAGCUAGCAAAAAAAAAAAGAAUGCUCUCACACUACUGGCUCUAGAAACAGUCGGUGCGUUAUCGUUUGCAGUCACACUGAACACACUGAACGCUCCCCGAGAAAUUAAUUACUGCCUAUUCUAAUCAGUGCACAUCGGUCAAUCGGGACUUGCCGGUAAACAGAUCGCGCCUAGCGCCUAAAAUAGACGAAAACGAAAUCAAACAAGAAAUUCCGAAACAAACAACUGACCGUGAGCAUCAUGCAUGCAAGGGAACUGUGAUAGGAGACAACGCCGUUUUUACUACGUGCCGCCAACCAACGGAUGGAUGAAUCUGAUGCCCCCUAUCGCCCGCAAUGUAGCCGAUUAAGUUAAACGUUAGCCUCCGGAGACCCACAAACAGUGGUAGGUGGUUAUUUACGAUCAUAUUUACAACUGAUUGCGAUUGUGAACUUUUAGAAAAGUCCAUCAUCUGGCCAGGGUCGUAUAAGUAGUUGCUGGGAAUCUCAAACCGUGCUCUUUCCUGCACAGUAUAUAUUAUUCCCACGAAACGGUAUAUUCCCACCAAGAAAAAGAGUAAACAAAUGUUUAUAUUCACAGCUCACACAAACACACUGAUCAGGAAACGGUUUGCUGCUAUUAAAUCAUGAAUCUUUAUGGCCGACAAAAAUUUGUUUAAAUAUAUAUAAACAUUCUCCGCAUCUUGCCAAGCGUCACCAAACUGCAUAUGCUAAAUGCUUGUUUGUAUAAUGAAGAAAAUAUGUUUUUGUAUAACACGUUUAGUUCAGUACUGCACAUGAAGUAUGUGGUCGCUACGAGUCUUGAACUCAUGGCGGUUAUGUUGUUAAUCGUGCGUCUUAACGAAGGCCCACCAGACCCAGAUUACCGCUCAAAAACCGAACAAACAUGCUAUGACAAUGUGUCCGCUUGUAAAUACAUCUCAGAAGCUUGCGCAAUGCUAAAGCGAUCAUUGCCCAUAGCAUCGUUGGAGAGAAGAAAAAAACAAUAAGACCGGAGAACUUGUCAAAGCAAAACCCC